UCUUACUCUCAUCACUCUGUUCAUCACUCUCGGGGCUUCUGGAAACAAAUGGACUAUGAAAUACAGCAAAGAGACAAUAUGUGCUUUAAAAGGGUCCACUGUGUUUAAGAAUGGCUCUUAUACACACCCAGACCAUCUUACAGUGACAGAAGCCUUUUGGUAUAUAGACCCAGUUAAGAGGAUGAACACCAUUACUGCUACAGAAUCCAAACACGCACAGAGAAAUGGGUGGGUAUUCCUGGAAUACAGCUGAAAUUUACAGGUACGUUUAAUCACCACAUUAUCCUGCUAACAACACAAGCUAUCAUGUCACUUUAAUCUUCAUGGUAUCAUAGUGAUUUAUAGUGACAUAUUCAUGUAGCUCCAUCAGAGGUUUUAUUCCACUGCAACAUCAGGGUUUUUCAGCUCCUGUCCUGGUCUAGAGCUGCACUGCUGGUGUUUUCUCUGCUUUGACACAUCUGAUGAUCUCUUUGACUUGGACCUCCAUGUAGACACCUCUCAAGCAGUAAUAGAGGGACACACCACUGUUCUGAUAUGUACAACCACCUGCAGUCUGACAGUCCAACAUUCAUCUGGUACAAAAAUGGACAUCCUUUAUCCUCCAGUACA